rnacentral:rRNA from 1 species
GGCGUGCCUAAUACAUGCAAGUCGAGCGAACGGACGAGAGGCUUGCUUCUCUGAUGUUAGCGGCGGACGGGUGAGUAACACGUGGAUAACCUACCUAUAAGACUGGGAUAACUUCGGGAAACCGGAGCUAAUACCGGAUAAUAUUUUGAACCGCAUGGUUCAAAAGUGAAAGACGGUCUUGCUGUCACUUAUAGAUGGAUCCGCGCUGCAUUAGCUAGUUGGUAAGGUAACGGCUUACCAAGGCAACGAUGCAUAGCCGACCUGAGAGGGUGAUCGGCCACACUGGAACUGAGACACGGUCCAGACUCCUACGGGAGGCAGCAGUAGGGAAUCUUCCGCAAUGGGCGAAAGCCUGACGGAGCAACGCCGCGUGAGUGAUGAAGGUCUUCGGAUCGUAAAACUCUGUUAUUAGGGAAGAACAUAUGUGUAAGUAACUGUGCACAUCUUGACGGUACCUAAUCAGAAAGCCACGGCUAACUACGUGCCAGCAGCCGCGGUAAUACGUAGGUGGCAAGCGUUAUCCGGAAUUAUUGGGCGUAAAGCGCGCGUAGGCGGUUUUUUAAGUCUGAUGUGAAAGCCCAUGGCUCAACCGUGGAGGGUCAUUGGAAACUGGAAAACUUGAGUGCAGAAGAGGAAAGUGGAAUUCCAUGUGUAGCGGUGAAAUGCGCAGAGAUAUGGAGGAACACCAGUGGCGAAGGCGACUUUCUGGUCUGUAACUGACGCUGAUGUGCGAAAGCGUGGGGAUCAAACAGGAUUAGAUACCCUGGUAGUCCACGCCGUAAACGAUGAGUGCUAAGUGUUAGGGGGUUUCCGCCCCUUAGUGCUGCAGCUAACGCAUUAAGCACUCCGCCUGGGGAGUACGACCGCAAGGUUGAAACUCAAAGGAAUUGACGGGGACCCGCACAAGCGGUGGAGCAUGUGGUUUAAUUCGAAGCAACGCGAAGAACCUUACCAAAUCUUGACAUCCUUUGACAACUCUAGAGAUAGAGCCUUCCCCUUCGGGGGACAAAGUGACAGGUGGUGCAUGGUUGUCGUCAGCUCGUGUCGUGAGAUGUUGGGUUAAGUCCCGCAACGAGCGCAACCCUUAAGCUUAGUUGCCAUCAUUAAGUUGGGCACUCUAAGUUGACUGCCGGUGACAAACCGGAGGAAGGUGGGGAUGACGUCAAAUCAUCAUGCCCCUUAUGAUUUGGGCUACACACGUGCUACAAUGGACAAUACAAAGGGCAGCGAAACCGCGAGGUCAAGCAAAUCCCAUAAAGUUGUUCUCAGUUCGGAUUGUAGUCUGCAACUCGACUACAUGAAGCUGGAAUCGCUAGUAAUCGUAGAUCAGCAUGCUACGGUGAAUACGUUCCCGGGUCUUGUACACACCGCCCGUCACACCACGAGAGUUUGUAACACCCGAAGCCGGUGGAGUAACCUUUUAGGAGCUAGCCGUCGAAGGUGGGACAAAUGAUUGGGGUGAAGUCAUAAC